ACCUCAAGUGAUCCGCCUGCCUCGGCCUCCCAAAGUGCUGGGAUUACAGGCAUGUGCCACCGCACCCGGCCGAUUCUUGUAUUGUUAGUAGAGAUGGGGAGUGCAAUGGCAUGAUAUUAGCUCACUGCAACCUCCACCUCCCAGGCUCAAGCGCUCCCCCUGCCUCAGCCUCCAAAAGUAACAGGGACUACCACAUCCAGCUAAUUUUUUUUAUUUUUUGUAGAGAUGGGGUU
rnacentral:lncRNA from 1 species